rnacentral:rRNA from 1 species
UACAGAGGUCCCAAGCGUUGUUCGGAUUCACUGGGCGUAAAGGGUGCGUAGGCGGUCGGGUAAGUCUGAUGUGAAAUCUCACAGCUUAACUGUGAAACUGCAUUGGAUACUAUUCGGCUUGAGAGUUGGAGGGGGGACUGGAAUUCUUGGUGUAGCAGUGAAAUGCGUAGAUAUCAAGAGGAACACCAGUGGCGAAGGCGAGUCUCUGGACAACUUCUGACGCUGAGGCACGAAAGCUAGGGGAGCAAACAGG